rnacentral:rRNA from 1 species
GACGAACGCUGGCGGCGUGCUUAACACAUGCAAGUCGAACGGAAAGGCCCUGCUUUUGUGGGGUGCUCGAGUGGCGAACGGGUGAGUAACACGUGAGUAACCUGCCCUUGACUUUGGGAUAACUUCAGGAAACUGGGGCUAAUACCGGAUAGGAGCUCCUGCUGCAUGGUGGGGGUUGGAAAGUUUCGGCGGUUGGGGAUGGAUUCGCGGCUUAUCAGCUUGUUGGUGGGGUAGUGGCUUACCAAGGCUUUGACGGGUAGCCGGCCUGAGAGGGUGACCGGCCACAUUGGGACUGAGAUACGGCCCAGACUCCUACGGGAGGCAGCAGUGGGGAAUAUUGCACAAUGGGCGGAAGCCUGAUGCAGCAACGCCGCGUGCGGGAUGACGGCCUUCGGGUUGUAAACCGCUUUCGCCUGUGACGAAGCGUGAGUGACGGUAAUGGGUAAAGAAGCACCGGCUAACUACGUGCCAGCAGCCGCGGUGAUACGUAGGGUGCGAGCGUUGUCCGGAUUUAUUGGGCGUAAAGGGCUCGUAGGUGGUUGAUCGCGUCGGAAGUGUAAUCUUGGGGCUUAACCCUGAGCGUGCUUUCGAUACGGGUUGACUUGAGGAAGGUAGGGGAGAAUGGAAUUCCUGGUGGAGCGGUGGAAUGCGCAGAUAUCAGGAGGAACACCAGUGGCGAAGGCGGUUCUCUGGGCCUUUCCUGACGCUGAGGAGCGAAAGCGUGGGGAGCGAACAGGCUUAGAUACCCUGGUAGUCCACGCUGUAAACGGUGGGUACUAGGUGUGGGGUCCAUUCCACGGGUUCCGUGCCGUAGCUAACGCUUUAAGUACCCCGCCUGGGGAGUACGGCCGCAAGGCUAAAACUCAAAGGAAUUGACGGGGCCCCGCACAAGCGGCGGAGCAUGCGGAUUAAUUCGAUGCAACGCGUAGAACCUUACCUGGGUUUGACAUGGAUCGGGAGCGCUCAGAGAUGGGUGUGCCUCUUUUGGGGUCGGUUCACAGGUGGUGCAUGGCUGUCGUCAGCUCGUGUCGUGAGAUGUUGGGUUAAGUCCCGCAACGAGCGCAACCCUUGUUCACUGUUGCCAGCACGUUAUGGUGGGGACUCAGUGGAGACCGCCGGGGUCAACUCGGAGGAAGGUGGGGAUGACGUCAAGUCAUCAUGCCCCUUAUGUCCAGGGCUUCACGCAUGCUACAAUGGCUGGUACAGAGAGUGGCGAGCCUGUGAGGGUGAGCGAAUCUCGGAAAGCCGGCCUCAGUUCGGAUUGGGGUCUGCAACUCGACCUCAUGAAGUCGGAGUCGCUAGUAAUCGCAGAUCAGCAACGCUGCGGUGAAUACGUUCCCGGG